CUACGGGUGGCACCAGUGAGGAAUAUUGGUCAAUGGGCGCGAGCCUGAACCAGCCAUCCCGCGUGCAGGAUGACGGCCCUAUGGGUUGUAAACUGCUUUUCUAUGCCAAGAAACCCUGUUACGAGUAACAGGUUGCCGGUAGCAUAGGAAUAAGCAUCGGCUAACUCCGUGCCAGCAGCCGCGGUAAUACGGAGGAUGCAAGCGUUAUCCGGAUUCAUUGGGUUUAAAGGGUGCGCAGGUGGGCUUGUAAGUCAGUGGUGAAAUGCUGCCGCUUAACGGUAGAACUGCCAUUGAUACUGCGAGUCUUGAGUAUGGUUGAGGUAGGCGGAAUGUGUUGUGUAGCGGUGAAAUGCAUAGAUAUGACACAGAACGCCAAUUGCGAAGGCAGCUUACUAAGCCAUUACUGACGCUGAGGCACGAAAGUGUGGGGAGCGAACAGGAUUAGAUACCCCCGUAGUC
rnacentral:rRNA from 1 species